CGCUCACUAAAAAAUAAAUCAUUUCUAAUCAAUGACUUUAUAACCACAAACAAUCUGGAUUUUAUGUUUCUAAGUGAAACAUGGCUAGAAGACAGCUGCAGUGCAACAAUAGUAAAUGAAGCAGCCCCUCCUAACUUCACUUACAUGAGUGUUUGCAGGACUGUUAGGAGAGGUGGGGGUGUAGCUGCUAUAUUUAAAGAUGUCUAUCAAUGCAAGCAAGUGUCAUUUGGUCAGUACUUGUCUUUCGAAUAUCUAGGGAUAGUGCUGAAAGGUGCCCCACGCAUUCUGUUUAUUAUUAUUUACAGGCCUCCAAAAUACUCUCCAGCUUUUGUUGAAGAGGUCACAGAAAUGUUAUCAAUAAUUUCCUCAGAGUUUGACUGUUUUGCAAUUGCAGGGGAUUUUAAUAUUCACAUAGAUAAUGCAGAAAAUAAAACUACAAAAGAAAUGAUAACGGUUCUAAACACUUUUGACCUGAUUCAGCAUGUGCAUGGACCCACACACAAAGGUGGACACACUCUGGAUCUAAUCAUCAGUAGGGGUCUAAACAUUUCAUCCAUUGUUACUAAGGACGUAGCACUAUCUGAUCACUUCUGUAUUUUCUUUGAUAUAUUGAUCUCUGUUACCACUGAAUCUAGAUCUGUCUCUGUCAGAAGGAGAUGCAUAAACGAGAACACAAGUGUACUAUUUAUGGAGGCUAUACCUUUAACACCAAGCAUUUCUGCAGACUCUGUUGAUAUUCUCCUUGAUUCCUUCAACUCAAAAGUUAAGAAUGUUAUUGAUGAUAUUGCACCAAUAAUAGUCAGUAAGAAAACAAACAGACAGAAAUCAGUUUGGAGAAGAUCAACAGCAGUUCAGACUAUGAAAAGACAAUGCAGAAAAGCCGAGCGGAUGUGGAGGAAGACGAAACUUGAAAUACACUAUAGCAUCUAUAAAGACAUCCUUCAUGCUUUUAAUGUGAAACUAGCCACAGCUAGACAGAACUUCUUCUCAAACCUUAUAAACAGUAACUUAAAUAACACUCGUACUCUUUUUGCCACUGUUGAGAGACUGACAAACCCCCCAAGUCAGAUUCCCAGUGAUAUGCUAUCAGACAGCAAAUGCAAUGAGUUUGCUUCUUUCUUUUCUGAGAAGAUCAUAAAUAUCAGGAAGGCAAUUAGCACAUCCUCAAGUAAUGCAGAGGUCAGACAGAUUCGGCCAAAAUAUCAAAAAGAUACUAUGUCUAUUUUUGAAGCAAUUGAUAGCAAAAUUCUGGAAGACAUAGUGCAGCAACUAAAAUCAUCAACCUGUUGUCUUGACACACUUCCCACAUCUUUUUUUCAAAAGUGUGCUUGACUGCUUAAAAGCAGAUCUCUUAGAAGUGGUGAAUGCCUCACUUCUUUCUGGGACAUUUCCAAACUCCCUAAAAACUGCAGUUGUGAAGCCCCUCCUGAAAAAGACCAGUCUUGAUAAC
rnacentral:lncRNA from 1 species